rnacentral:rRNA from 1 species
GAUGAACGCUGGCGGCGUGCUUAACACAUGCAAGUCGAACGAAGCACCUUGAUUCGAUUCUUCGGAUGGAGAUCUUGGUGACUGAGUGGCGGACGGGUGAGUAACGCGUGGGUAACCUGCCUCAUACAGGGGGAUAACAGUUAGAAAUGACUGCUAAUACCGCAUAAGACCACAGCACCGCAUGGUGCAGGGGUAAAAACUCCGGUGGUAUGAGAUGGACCCGCGUCUGAUUAGGUAGUUGGUGGGGUAACGGCCUACCAAGCCGACGAUCAGUAGCCGACCUGAGAGGGUGACCGGCCACAUUGGGACUGAGACACGGCCCAAACUCCUACGGGAGGCAGCAGUGGGGAAUAUUGCACAAUGGGGGAAACCCUGAUGCAGCGACGCCGCGUGAGCGAUGAAGUAUUUCGGUAUGUAAAGCUCUAUCAGCAGGGAAGAAAAUGACGGUACCUGACUAAGAAGCACCGGCUAAAUACGUG